GACUGAAGGUGGUGUAAAAAUUAGAGCUAUAUUUGUGCACAUAGGAGUUUUGAUGCCUCUCUGGAUGAUAAUGGUCCAUGUCGAAGGAUGGAAAUAUGUCACGCAUUCUGAAAAAAUGACCUGGAAUGAUUCAAGAAAGUGGUGUCAAACUCAUCACACUGACAUUGUGAUGGUCCACAAUGAAAAUGUGACAAAUGUUCUGAAAACAGAGCUGCCAAAUCUAAACUCUGCUCCUUACUACUGGAUUGGAAUGAAAAAGAUCAAUGACACUUGGAUGUGGGUUGCCAAUGGACAGGCUGCAGACUAUAUAAACUGGGCAGAAACAGAGCCCAAUAAUCGACUGUCUGAAGAAAACUGUGUAGAAAUGUACAUUACCAGCUUAAACAAAAGUGGAAAGUGGAACGAUGAUAGCUGCAGUAACUCAAAAUACCCUGUGUGUCACAAAGCACAAUGUCCUAACAUAACAUGCGGUGAUAGAAAAGUCUGUGUAGAAAAAGUCAAC